GAUGAACGCUGGCGGCGUGCCUAAUACAUGCCAGUCGAGCGAACGGACGAGAAGCUUGCUUCUCUGAUGUUAGCGGCGGACGGGUGAGUAACACGUGGAUAACCUACCUAUAAAACUGGGAUAACUUCGGGAAACCGGAGCUAAUACCGGAUAAUAUUUUGAACCGCAUGGUUCAAAAGUGAAAGACGGUCUUGCUGUCACUUAUAGAUGGAUCCGCGCUGCAUUAGCUAGUUGGUAAGGUAACGGCUUACCAAGGCAACGAUGCAUAGCCGACCUGAGAGGGUGAUCGGCCACACUGGAACUGAGACACGGUCCAGACUCCUACGGGAGGCAGCAGUAGGGAAUCUUCCGCAAUGGGCGAAAGCCUGACGGAGCAACGCCGCGUGAGUGAUGAAGGUCUUCGGAUCGUAAAACUCUGUUAUUAGGGAAGAACAUAUGUGUAAGUAACUGUGCACAUCUUGACGGUACCUAAUCAGAAAGCCACGGCUAACUACGUG
rnacentral:rRNA from 1 species